rnacentral:tRNA from 1 species
GCUCCGGUAGCCCAAUGGCAGAGGCAACGGUCUUAAACACCGUGUGGUGCGGGUUCGAGUCCCGCCGGGAGCACCA